ACGCAUCGAAAGAUGUGCUAAUACCGCAUAAUAUCUGAGGAAGAAAGUGGGGGAUCGAAAGACCUCAUGCUUUUGGAGCGGCCGAUGUCUGAUUAGCUUGUUGGUGAGGUAAUGGCUUACCAAGGCAACGAUCAGUAGUUGGUCUGAGAGGACGACCAGCCACACUGGGACUGAGACACGGCCCAGACUCCUACGGGAGGCAGCAGUGGGGAAUUUUGGACAAUGGGCGCAAGCCUGAUCCAGCAAUGCCGCGUGAGUGAAGAAGGCCUUCGGGUUGUAAAGCUCUUUCAGUUGAGAAGAAAGAAUUCUGGUUAAUACCUGGAAUUUAUGACGGUAUCGACAGAAGAAGCACCGGCUAACUACGUGCCAGCAGCCGCGGUAAUACGUAGGGUGCAAGCGUUAAUCGGAAUUACUGGGCGUAAAGGNUGCGCAGGUGGUUUUGUAAGUCAGAUGUGAAAUCCCCGGGCUUAACCUGGGAAUUGCGUUUGAAACUACNAGACUAGAGUGUGGCAGAGGGGGGUGGAAUUCCAUGUGUAGCAGUGAAAUGCGUAGAUAUAUGGAGGAACNUCGAUGGCGAANNCAGCCCUCUGGGUUAACACUGACACUCAUGCACNAAAGCGUGGGGAGNAAACAGGAUUANAUNCCCUGGUAGUCCACGCCCUAAACUAUGUCAACUAGUUGNUGGGUCUUAUUAGACUUAGUAACNAA
rnacentral:rRNA from 1 species